rnacentral:rRNA from 1 species
UACGGAGGGGGGCUAGCGUUGUUCGGAAUUACUGGGCGUAAAGCGCACGUAGGCGGCUUUGCAAGUUAGAGGUGAAAGCCCAGGGCUUAACCCUGGAAUUGCCUUUAAAACUGCAUCGCUAGAAUUGUGGAGAGGUAAGUGGAAUUCCGAGUGUAGAGGUGAAAUUCGUAGAUAUUCGGAAGAACACCAGUGGCGAAGGCGACUUACUGGACACAUAUUGACGCUGAGGUGCGAAAGCGUGGGGGAGCAAACAGG